CUUGCUAUCCAGAGAGCGGCGUACGGGUGCGUAACACGUGUGCAACCUGCCUUUAUCUGGGGGAUAGCCUUUCGAAAGGAAGAUUAAUACCCCAUAAUAUGGUGUCCGGCAUCGGUCGCCAUUGAAAGCCUCGGCGGAUAGAGAUGGGCACGCGCAAGAUUAGAUAGUUGGCGGGGUAACGGCCCACCAAGUCGAUGAUCUUUAGGGGUCCUGAGAGGGAGAUCCCCCACACUGGUACUGAGGCACGGACCAGACUCCUACGGGAGGCAGCAGUGAGGAAUAUUGGACAAUGGGUGGAAGCCUGAUCCAGCCAUCCCGCGUGAAGGAUGACGGUCCUAUGGAUUGUAAACUUCUUUUGUACAGGGAUAAACCUGCCCUCGUGAGGGCAGCUGAAGGUACUGUACGAAUAAGCACCGGCUAACUCCGUGCCAGCAGCCGCGGUAAUACGGAGGGUGCGAGCGUUAUCCGGAUUUAUUGGGUUUAAAGGGUCCGUAGGCGGGCCUGUAAGUCAGUGGUGAAAUCUCAUAGCUUAACUAUGAAACUGCCAUUGAUACUGCAGGCCUUGAGUAAAUUUGAAGUGGCUGGAAUAAGUAGUGUAGCGGUGAAAUGCAUAGAUAUUACUUAGAACACCGAUUGCGAAGGCAGGUCACUAAGAUUUAACUGACGCUGAUGGACGAAAGCGUGGGGAGCGAACAGGAUUAGAUACCCUGGUAGUCCACGCCGUAAACGAUGCUAACUCGUUUUUGGAUCUUCGGGUUCAGAGACCAAGCGAAAGUGAUAAGUUAGCCACCUGGGGAGUACGUCCGCAAGGAUGAAACUCAAAGGAAUUGACGGGGGCCCGCACAAGCGGUGGAUUACGUGGUUUAAUUCGAUGAUACGCGAGGAACCUUACCAAGACUUAAAUGGGAAUUGACAGAUUUAGAAAUAGAUCCUCCUUCGGGCAAUUUUCAAGGUGCUGCAUGGUUGUCGUCAGCUCGUGCCGUGAGGUGUUAGGUUAAGUCCUGCAACGAGCGCAACCCCUGCCAACAGUUGCCAUCAUUCAGUUGGGGACUCUGUUGGGACUGCCUACGCAAGUAGAGAGGAAGGUGGGGAUGACGUCAAAUCAUCACGGCCCUUACGUCUUGGGCCACACACGUAAUACAAUGGCCGGUACAGAGGGCAGCUACCUGGUGACAGGAUGCGAAUCUCGAAAGCCGGUCUCAGUUCGGAUUGGAGUCUGCAACUCGACUCUAUGAAGCUGGAAUCGCUAGUAAUCGCGCAUCAGCCAUGGCGCGGUGAAUACGUUCCCGGGCC
rnacentral:rRNA from 1 species